rnacentral:rRNA from 1 species
AACGAACGCUGGCGGCAUGCCUAACACAUGCAAGUCGAACGAGACCUUCGGGUCUAGUGGCGCACGGGUGCGUAACACGUGGGAAUCUGCCCGUUGCUUCGGAAUAACAGUUAGAAAUGACUGCUAAUACCGGAUGAUGUCGAAAGACCAAAGAUUUAUCGGCAAAGGAUGAGCCCGCGUAGGAUUAGGUAGUUGGUGGGGUAAAGGCCUACCAAGCCGACGAUCCUUAGCUGGUCUGAGAGGAUGAUCAGCCACACUGGGACUGAGACACGGCCCAGACUCCUACGGGAGGCAGCAGUGGGGAAUAUUGGACAAUGGGCGAAAGCCUGAUCCAGCAAUGCCGCGUGAGUGAUGAAGGCCUUAGGGUUGUAAAGCUCUUUUACCAGGGAUGAUAAUGACAGUACCUGGAGAAUAAGCUCCGGCUAACUCCGUG